UAUCAUACAACUUUUACGUUUUGUUUACAUAUGAAGAAAAAAAUAUGGCUCAGGAAAAUAAUCAAGCACAAAUAUUAUCAUUCCAACUCAUGGGUUAAGCAUUCAGAAACAGAAAUGUAAAAAAGCCAUGACAUACAUAUUUACUUCCUAUCCGAAAUUAAAGGUUAAACUCUUCCCGGAAACGAUCGAUAUAACAUAAAUGGCAAUAGAGUGGUACAAUAUGCUUUUCAAUUAAAUUCAAUUGAACAUUUAAGUAUGAACAAUUCAAAUUUUAUUUCCGGUAGACAAUAAUAUUGACCCCAAUGUAUACCAAACAGACA
rnacentral:lncRNA from 1 species